rfam:Ictidomys tridecemlineatus contig055976, whole genome shotgun sequence.
ACCCUUCAGCUCAUGAGUGUGAUGAUUGGGUGUUCAUGCACUAAUGUGAGAUGUGCCUCCCUCUAAACCUUGCUAUGACAUCCACACAUUACCCAUGUGACA